GACGAACCGUGCGAACGUUGUUCGGAUUCACUGGGCUUAAAGGGCGCGUAGGCGGCCAACUAAGUCAGGCGUGAAAUCCCUCGGCUUAACCGGGGAACUGCGUCUGAUACUGGAUGGCUUGAGUUUGGGAGAGGGAUGCGGAAUUCCAGGUGUAGCGGUGAAAUGCGUAGAUAUCUGGAGGAACACCGGUGGCGAAGGCGGCAUCCUGGACCAACACUGACGCUGAGGAGCGAAAGCCAGGGGAGCAAACGGG
rnacentral:rRNA from 1 species